CUGUGACUACAUGUUUAACGGCCGCGGUAUUCUAACCGUGCGAAGGUAGCGCAAUCACUUGUCUUUUAAAUGGAGACCUGUAUGAAUGGCAUUACGAGGGCUUAACUGUCUCCUUUUCCUAGUCAAUGAAAUUGAUCUCCCCGUGCAGAAGCGGGGAUACCACCAUAAGACGAGAAGACCCUGUGGAGCUUUAGACACUAGGAAGCCCACGUUUUAUAAUACUGUGUCACCAGAACCAUGGUGGGCCCUCCCUUCUUGUCUUUGGUUGGGGCGACCGCGGAGCAAAAACCAGCCUCCAUGUGGACUGAGAGUACUACUCUUACAACCGAGACCCCCAGCUCUAAGUAACAGAAUUUCUGACCAUAAAUGACCCGGCAUAUGCCGAGCAACGAACCAAGUUACCCCAGGGAUAACAGCGCAAUCCUCUCCAAGAGCUCCUAUCGACGAGGGGGUUUACGACCUCGAUGUUGGAUCAGGACAUCCUAAUUGGCGCAACCGCUAUUAAGGGUUCGUUUGUUC
rnacentral:rRNA from 1 species